rnacentral:rRNA from 1 species
UACGAAGGGGGCUAGCGUUGCUCGGAAUCACUGGGCGUAAAGGGUGCGUAGGCGGGUCUUUAAGUCAGGGGUGAAAUCCUGGAGCUCAACUCCAGAACUGCCUUUGAUACUGAAGAUCUUGAGUUCGGGAGAGGUGAGUGGAACUGCGAGUGUAGAGGUGAAAUUCGUAGAUAUUCGCAAGAACACCAGUGGCGAAGGCGGCUCACUGACCCGAUACUGACGCUGAGGCACGAAAGCGUGGGGAGCGAACAGG